rnacentral:rRNA from 1 species
UACGGGGGGGGGCAAGCGUUGUUCGGAAUUACUGGGCGUAAAGGGCCAGUAGGCGGCCAACUAAGUCCGACGUGAAAUCCCAAGGCUUAACCUUGGAACUGCGUCGGAUACUGGAUGGCUUGAAUUCGGGAGAGGGAUGCAGAAUUCCAGGUGUAGCGGUGAAAUGCGUAGAUAUCUGGAGGAAUACCGGUGGCGAAGGCGGCAUCCUGGACCGACAUUGACGCUGAACGGCGAAAGCUAGGGGAGCAAACGGGAGUUAGAAAACCCU